GGGCGAAAGCCUGAUGCAGCCAUGCCGCGUGUAUGAAGAAGGCCUUCGGGUUGUAAAGUACUUUCAGUUGUGAGGAAGGGUGUGUAGUUAAUAGCUGCGCAUCUUGACGUUAGCAACAGAAGAAGCACCGGCUAACUCCGUGCCAGCAGCCGCGGUAAUACGGAGGGUGCGAGCGUUAAUCGGAAUUACUGGGCGUAAAGCGCAUGCAGGUGGUUCAUUAAGUCAGAUGUGAAAGCCCGGGGCUCAACCUCGGAACUGCAUUUGAAACUGGUGAACUAGAGUACUGUAGAGGGGGGUAGAAUUUCAGGUGUAGCGGUGAAAUGCGUAGAGAUCUGAAGGAAUACCAGUGGCGAAGGCGGCCCCCUGGACAGGCACUGACACUCAGAUGCGAAAGCGUGGGGAGCAAACAGGAUUAGAUACCCUGGUAGUCCACGCCGUAAACGAUGUCUACUUGGAGGUUGUGGCCUUGAGCCGUGGCUUUCGGAGCUAACGCGUUAAGUAGACCGCCUGGGGAGUACUGUCGCAAGAUUAAAACUCAAAUGAAUUGACGGGGGCCC
rnacentral:rRNA from 1 species